CUGCUGUGCACUUAUGAGAGUUUUCUCAGCUGUCAUUUAGAAAAUCCUGAGGGCGGUUUUCUCAUUCUUAGUCAUCCCUCCUCAUCACCCUCACCUUCAAAAAUACUUUGUGGGCUAUGGAUGGUGCCAGAGAAGAGUCCACACUCCUACACAGGCGGGCAAGGCUUCUCUCACUUCUGCAGCUUCGGCCUCUAUCAACACUACUUAGUGAUACAAAGACCUGCUCCAACCAAUUCAACACAUUUCCUGGUUUGGAAAUAGGACUUCACUCCUCUGAGAAUGGCCUGUGUGACGGAAUGCCUGCCCAGCCGUUCCUCAGCUGCCGCUAACGCCACAUCUGGAGAAUUCUUCAAGCAUCUCUGUUUUGUGCUGGUGUCAGUGUUUUCCGAACUUGAGUUCGCUCAAUGGCAAAGCCAGGGCUUCUGGUACAUCAUCCUGCUGAUGGCUUCUCUCUGGUUCCUGAGGCUCUACCUGCAUUAUCUCAGCCAGUGGUUUUUCCUCCAGGCCACUUCAACUCCUGUUACAAAAUUCCGUUUUUCCCCCCUCACGGUGGAACUCUGCUACCCAGCCUCUUCCCUUCACAUCGCAGAAGAGAUGCUUGUGGUUGUGGUGGGGCCUUUCCUGCUGAACGCAGUGGUACUUCUCUUGGUUCUGGUCAGAUGGGGCUGUCAGCUACUGUUUGCCUUCUGCCCUGAUGUCCUGUCAAAGUUAAUCAUCACCAUGGGACUAUGGGCAGUUCUGGACCCACUGGCUGUAUUUAUUGUGGAUACUGUCCUGGGGCGACUCACACAGAGUGGGGAGACUCCAGUAGCUGAUGCAGCCAAACUGUACUGGAUGUUUGAAAGAACCAUGCAAUCUGGAAUUCUCGGUGUGAUGCUCACGGUGCUACUUUAUGUCCUACUGUUCAUCAUUUCGACUUUGAUUUUAUAUGUGUAUUGUCUCAGAUUGCACAAUGAUUCUUGGAUAUUAGACACAUUUCAGCGCAUCCACAGUGAAGAAAGCAAGUUCUUUAUACCAUAUGAUUUGGAGAUUUCCAAUCAGGAGCUAAGCUAUAUCAUAAAAAGAUCUGAGCAGUGGAGAGGAUUCAAUGGUGAGAGAAGGAAGGUGGCAGUGUAUGAUUAUAUCUGGAAAAAGCAUGGCGUCCAGUCCAGCAUCUCCAGCUGUGACCUCCAACAGCACAAUGAAAUUUCUGUGACGGCACUUGGUCCAGGAGGUAUUACUUCUCAUGUAGCUGUGUACACCGUUUAUCCCAGUGGGUUCCAAGAGCUAUACCGCCAUUUCCUUAGGCUCCCUAGCGGUGCCAUUGUUGAGGUAUUUGGUGAUAUCGGUGGUUUAACGAUUAUCCCCAGAGAACUGGUCACAGCUAUUCAAAAGCAUCUAAGUGAAAUAGACAGCACGCUGGGAGACUCCCCGGAUAUUAAAUCAAGAG
rnacentral:lncRNA from 1 species